rnacentral:rRNA from 1 species
UACGUAGGGGGCUAGCGUUGUCCGGAAUCAUUGGGCGUAAAGCGCGCGUAGGCGGCCCGGUAAGUCCGCUGUAAAAGUCAAAGGCUCAACCUUUGAAUGUCAGUGGAUACUGCCGGGCUAGAGUCCGGAAGAGGCGAGUGGAACUCCUGGCGUAGCGGUGGAAUGCGCAGAUAUCAGGAAGAACACCGACGGCGAAGGCAGCUCGCUGGGACGGUACUGACGCUGAGGCGCGAAAGCGUGGGGAGCGAACAGG